GCGCCCGUGGGCUAGUCGUUAAGCCGCUUCCCUCCCAUGGAUAGGAAGAGAUCGUGGGUUCAAAUCCCGCCGGACGCA
rnacentral:tRNA from 1 species